rnacentral:rRNA from 1 species
UUGACGGGGGCCCGCACAAGCGGUGGAGCAUGUGGUUUAAUUCGAAGCAACGCGAAGAACCUUACCAGGUCUUGACAUCCUUUGACCACUCUAGAGAUAGAGCUUCCCCUUCGGGGGCAAAGUGACAGGUGGUGCAUGGUUGUCGUCAGCUCGUGUCGUGAGAUGUUGGGUUAAGUCCCGCAACGAGCGCAACCCUUAUUGUUAGUUGCCAUCAUUCAGUUGGGCACUCUAGCAAGACUGCCGGUGACAAACCGGAGGAAGGUGGGGAUGACGUCAAAUCAUCAUGCCCCUUAUGACCUGGGCUACACACGUGCUACAAUGGGAAGUACAACGAGUUGCGAAGUCGCGAGGCUAAGCUAAUCUCUUAAAGCUUCUCUCAGUUCGGAUUGCAGGCUGCAACUCGCCUGCAUGAAGCCGGAAUCGCUAGUAAUCGCGGAUCAGCACGCCGCGGUGAAUACGUUCCCGGGCCUUGUACACACCGCCCGUCACACCACGAGAGUUUGUAACACCCG